UAAAGAGAUUGUGAGUUACUGCAUUGUACACUUCUCCUGACAUGAAAGAUCUCAUUAAGUUGGAGCAAGCUGCUUCUCCCUUGGGAGUGGGCCUGGGGCCAAGGGAAACUGGUCCAGAGGCAUAUGUGAGGUUAAAGACGGCUCUGACACAUCUGCUCUCUGAGAAAUUUCCCCCGUGAGUGUGUGUUUUCAUUAGAAUAAAUGUGAAGUCUAUUUACCAACCUUUUUUCUAUAUAUUGAACUCAGAUUCCCAGUACAAGCCACCCCGUCUCCCACUUACUGUGUGCCAGUGCAUCAUGGGAGCACAGCACCACACUGUUAUCCUACGGGCAGAGCCAGCACAUCAAGGAUGCACCAGGUGUCUGCGCCUUCUGAGGUUCGAUGUGCAUGGAGAAUCAGCUAAUGCAUCCGUGAGGGCCCAGAGGAAGCCUGAGCCUGGAUACGCAGCCAGUCCAAGCAGCAGAGUGUCUACAGAGCUUCAGGAAGGCCUGGACCCUCUGCAACCAGUGAAAGCUUUAAGAAACAACAGGGGACAAAAUACAAGAGAAGGGGAGACUCACUAAGCCACCGAAGCUUAAUUGAUGGUGAGAGCUAUGUCUCGUCAUUCAGGAUCGCAUUUCAGGUAAGCACACAGUUCUUCAUUAAAGCUAAAUCAAUCCAGGGCCAGCAAGACAGCUCAACAGGUAGAGACGCUUGCCACCCAGCCUGCUGACCUGAGUCUCUGGAACCCACAUAGUAAAAAGGGAACCAAGUUCUGCGAAUUGUCCUCUGACCUUCACGAGUGUGCUACAUGUGGGUGCCCCAUAAUGUGGAGGGAUUUGAUCCCCACUAUGAUCUUUUUUUUUAAAAAAAAGAUAUUAUAGCCAGGUGAUGGGGAGGCAGAGGCAGGCAGAUCUCUGAGAUUGAGGCCAGCCUGGUCUACAGAGCUAGUCCCAAGACAGCAAGGGCUAUACAGAGAAACCCUGUCUCAAAAACCAAAACCAAAGUAAAAAAAAAAAAACAA